rnacentral:rRNA from 1 species
AUUGAACGCUGGCGGCAGGCCUAACACAUGCAAGUCGAGCGGAUGAAGGGAGCUUGCUCCUGGAUUCAGCGGCGGACGGGUGAGUAAUGCCUAGGAAUCUGCCUGGUAGUGGGGGAUAACGUCCGGAAACGGGCGCUAAUACCGCAUACGUCCUGAGGGAGAAAGUGGGGGAUCUUCGGACCUCACGCUAUCAGAUGAGCCUAGGUCGGAUUAGCUAGUUGGUGGGGUAAAGGCCUACCAAGGCGACGAUCCGUAACUGGUCUGAGAGGAUGAUCAGUCACACUGGAACUGAGACACGGUCCAGACUCCUAGGGGAGGCAGCAGUGGGGAAUAUUGGACAAUGGGCGGAAGCCUGAUCCAGCCAUGCCGCGUGUGUGAAGAAGGUCUUCGGAUUGUAAAGCACUUUAAGUUGUGUGGAAGGGCAGUAAGUUAAUACCUUGCUGUUUUGACGUUACCAACAGAAUAAGCACCGGCUAACUUCGUG